rnacentral:piRNA from 1 species
UGUACAUUUUUGGGCGGAGGUCACUGGGU